rnacentral:rRNA from 1 species
GUGCACCAGUCGAGAAAACUUCACAAUGUGCGAAAGCACGAUGAGGGAAUCCCAAGUGCUUGCACGUAAGUGUAAGCUGUUUCUCUGUCUAAAACGCAGAGAGAGUAAGGGCUGGGUAAGACGGGUGCCAGCCGCCGCGGUAAUACCUGCAGCUCGAGUGGUGACCGUUAUUAUUGGGCCUAAAACGUCCGUAGCCGGUUUAAUAAAUGCCUGGGUAAAUCGGACCGCUUAACGGUUCGAAUUCCGGGUAGACUGUUAAACUUGAGACCGGGAGAAGUUAGAGGUACUCCUGGGGUAGAGGUGAAAUUCUGUAAUCCUAGGGGGACCACCAGUGGCGAAGGCGUCUAACUAGAACGGGUCUGACGGUGAGGGACGAAGCCCUGGGGCGCAAAACGGGGAUUAGAUACCCCCGUAGU